rnacentral:lncRNA from 1 species
CGGAAGAUGCGGAAUCUUCCCCCUCCCUGGAUGAGGAGAAGUGGGAUUUUGUCCUGGUAAGCGACAUCCAUGAAGUGGGCAGCGAGAGGGAAAUCAAGAGGAAGAAGUUCCUGGAUGAGCUGAGCAAGAAGGGAUUCACCAUCAAGAAAAUCGAGGACCAGAAGCUCUUCUAUGGAGUCCGUGCCCCACCGCUCCUCUUCCGGCAGUACCAGUGGCUCCUGAGGGACCCUGACAAUCGGCAGCAGAGCCCCGAUGGCCACCGCGAUGUAGCAGUGACCACGAGGAUACGGAUCGUGAACUUCAUCCUGCAGAACACGGUGACGCCCGACCUCGGU